rnacentral:rRNA from 1 species
AAAACGACUCUCGGCAACGGAUAUCUCGGCUCUCGCAUCGACGAAGAACGUAGCGAAAUGCGAUACUUGGUGUGAAUUGCAGAAUCCCGUGAACCAUCGAGUCUUUGAACGCAAGUUGCGCCCCAAGCCGUUAGGCCGAGGGCACGCCUGCCUGGGUGUCACGC